GACGAACGCUGGCGGCGUGCCUAAUACAUGCAAGUCGAGCGGACGAAUCGAAAGCUUGCUUUUGAUUCGUUAGCGGCGGACGGGUGAGUAACACGUGGGCAACCUGCCCUGUAGACGGGGAUAACACCGAGAAAUCGGUGCUAAUACCGGAUAACACGAAAUGUCACAUGACGUUUCGUUGAAAGACGGCGCAAGCUGUCGCUACAGGAUGGGCCCGCGGCGCAUUAGCUAGUUGGUGAGGUAACGGCUCACCAAGGCGACGAUGCGUAGCCGACCUGAGAGGGGGAUCGGCCACACUGGGACUGAGACACGGCCCAGACUCCUACGGGAGGCAGCAGUAGGGAAUCUUCCGCAAUGGACGAAAGUCUGACGGAGCAACGCCGCGUGAGCGAAGAAGGCCUUCGGGUCGUAAAGCUCUGUUGUUAGGGAAGAACAAGUAACGCAGUAACUGGCGUUACCGUGACGGUACCUAACGAGAAAGCCACGGCUAACUACGUG
rnacentral:rRNA from 1 species